rnacentral:rRNA from 1 species
CCUUAGGCAAAUCCGGGAUCACUUACGCCGAGCACCGAGACGAGUCCUAUGAGGACGAAGUGACUGACACCACGCUUCCAGGAAAAGCCACUAAGCUUCAGCUUAAGAAAAACCGUACCGCAAACCGACACAGGUAGGCAGGGUGAGAAUCCCAAGGCGCUUGAGAGAACUCGGGUGAAGGAACUAGGCAAAAUGGCACCGUAACUUCGGGAGAAGGUGCGCCCUUUGGUGUGGUCACGUGCGUGACUGAGCAUCGAAGGGUCGCAGUAACCUGGCCGCUGCGACUGUUUAUCAAAAACACAGCACUCUGCAAACACGAAAGUGGACGUAUAGGGUGUGACGCCUGCCCGGUGCUGGAAGGUUAAUUGAUGGGGUCAGCCGCAAGGCGAAGCUCUUGAUCGAAGCCCCAGUAAACGGCGGCCGUAACAAUAACGGUCCUAAGGUAGCGAAAUUCCUUGUCGGGUAAGUUCCGACCUGCACGAAUGGCGUAACGACAGCGGCGCUGUCUCCACCCGAGACUCAGUGAAAUUGAAAUCGCUGUGAAGAUGCAGCGUUCCCGCGGCAAGACGGAAAGACCCCGUGAACCUUUACUAUAGCUUUACACUGAACGUUGAGUUCUUCUGUGUAGGAUAGGUGGGAGGCUAUGAAACCAGGACGCUAGUUCUGGUGGAGCCAUCCUUGAAAUACCACCCUGAAGUGCUUGACGUUCUAACCUAGGCCCGUAAUCCGGGUCAGGGACCGUGUAUGGUGGGUAGUUUGACUGGGGCGGUCUCCUCCCAAAGAGUAACGGAGGAGCACGAAGGUACGCUCAGCGCGGUCGGACAUCGCGCACUGUGUGCAAAGGCAUAAGCGUGCUUGACUGCGAGAUCGACGGAUCAAGCAGGUACGAAAGUAGGUCUUAGUGAUCCGGUGGUUCUGUAUGGAAGGGCCAUCGCUCAACGGAUAAAAGGUACUCCGGGGAUAACAGGCUGAUACCGCCCAAGAGUUCAUAUCGACGGCGGUGUUUGGCACCUCGAUGUCGGCUCAUCACAUCCUGGGGCUGUAGCCGGUCCCAAGGGUAUGGCUGUUCGCCAUUUAAAGUGGUACGCGAGCUGGGUUCAGAACGUCGUGAGACAGUUCGGUCCCUAUCUGUCGUGGGCGUUGGAGAUUUGAGGGGGGCUGCUCCUAGUACGAGAGGACCGGAGUGGACGUUCCGCUGGUGUUCGGGUUGUCAUGCCCAUGGCAUUGCCCGGUAGCUACGAACGGAAGUGAUAACCGCUGAAAGCAUCUAAGCGGGAAGCACGCCCCAAGAUGAGAUU